UACGGAAGAUCCAAGCGUUAUCCGGAAUUACUGGGCGUAAAGAGUUGCGUAGGUGGCAGGUAAAGCGAACAGUGAAAGGUCCCGGCUCAACCGGGGAUACAUUGUUCGAACUCACCAGCUAGAGCAUGAGAGAGGUAGAUGGAAUUUCUAGUGUAGGAGUGAAAUCCGUAGAUAUUAGAAGGAACACCGAUGGCGUAGGCAGUCUACUGGCUCAUUGCUGACACUAAGGCACGAAAGCGUGGGGAGCGAACGGG
rnacentral:rRNA from 1 species